rnacentral:rRNA from 1 species
UACGAAGGGGGCUAGCGUUGCUCGGAAUCACUGGGCGUAAAGCGCACGUAGGCGGCUUCUUAAGUCAGGGGUGAAAUCCUGGAGCUCAACUCCAGAACUGCCUUUGAUACUGAGGAGCUUGAGUCCGGGAGAGGUGAGUGGAACUGCGAGUGUAGAGGUGAAAUUCGUAGAUAUUCGCAAGAACAGCAGUGGCGAAGGCGGCUCACUGGCCCGGUACUGACGCUGAGGUGCGAAAGCGUGGGGAGCAAACAGG